rnacentral:rRNA from 1 species
UACGUAUGGAGCAAGCGCUAUCCGGAUUUACUGGGUGUAAAGGGAGCGUAGGCGGCAUACCAAGCCUGAUGUGAAAACCCGGGGCCCAACCCCGGGAGUGCAUUGGGAACUGGCAAGCUAGAGUGUCGGAGAGGCAGGCGGAAUUCCUAGUGUAGCGGUGAAAUGCGUAGAUAUUAGGAGGAACACCAGUGGCGAAGGCGGCCUGCUGGACGAUGACUGACGCUGAGGCUCGAAAGCGUGGGGAGCAAACAGG